rnacentral:rRNA from 1 species
AGGGCACACGGCGGAUGCCUAGGCGUAAGGGGGCGAGGAAGGACGCGGCAAGCGGCGAAACGCUCCGGGGAGCUGCAAGCGAGCAACGAUCCGGAGGUCUCCGAAUGGGGGAACCCACUUGAGGCGAACCUCAAGUAUCUCAUACUGAAUCCAUAGGUAUGAGAGGCGAACCGGGUGAACUGAAACAUCUAAGUAACCCGAGGAAGAGAAAGAAAGAUCGAUUCCCUAAGUAGCGGCGAGCGAACGGGGAAGAGCCCAAACCAUAUAUGUGUAAGGCCGCAACCGUUGCAUAUAUGGGGUUAAGGAGUGUCGAGCCGAAUUGCGGAUAGGCGAGCGAAGGCGAGGGGUAGCAGAACACUGCUGGAAAGCGGGGCCACAGAAAGUGACAGCCUUGUAUGCGAAACCCUAGAGUCUAGCUGACACAUCCAGAGUACUGCGGGGCACGUGAAACCCCGUAGGAAGUAGGGAGGCCCAUCUCCCAAGGCUAAAUACCACCUUACGACCGAUAGCGAACUAGUACCGUGAGGGAAAGGUGAAAAGCACCCCGGGAGGGGAGUGAAAGAGAACCUGAAACCGUGUGUCUACAAGCGGAGGGAGCUAAAGCGACCUCGUACUUUUUGUAGAACGGACCGGCGAGUUACCGUAUCAAGCGAGGUUAAGGAGUCAAGCUCCGGAGCCGAAGCGAAAGCGAGUCUUAACAGGGCGAAUAGUUUGAUGCGGUAGACCCGAAACCGUGUGAUCUACCCAUGGCCAGGGUGAAGCGGAGCUAACCCUUCGUGGAGGCCCGAACCGAAUUGACGUUGAAAAGUCAUGGGAUGAGCUGUGGGUAGGGGUGAAAUGCCAAUCGAACACGGAGAUAGCUGGUUCUCCCCGAAAUAGCUUUAGGGCUAGCCUUAACGUAAAAUCCUCGGGGGUAGAGCACUGAAUGGGCUAGGGGCCGAAAAGGUUACCGAACCCUAUCAAACUCCGAAUACCGAGGACAAGUAGUUAGGAGUCAGACUAUGGGGGAUAAGCUCCAUAGUCGAGAGGGAAACAGCCCAGACCGUCAGCUAAGGUCCCCAAGAUGAACCUAAGUGGGAAAGGAUGUUGUAUUACGAAGACAACCAGGAUGUUGGCUUAGAAGCAGCCAUUCAUUUAAAGAGUGCGUAAUAGCUCACUGGUCAAGUGAUACUGCGCCGAAAAUGUAACGGGGCUCAAGGUUCACACCGAAGCUGCGGCUUUGUAGCGGAGCUACAAGGGGUAGGGGAGCGUUCCUAUAGGGCAGAAGCAAUGCUGCAAGGCAUUGUGGACCGAUAGGAAGUGAGAAUGCCGGUAUGAGUAGCGAGAGGCAGGUGAGAAUCCUGUCCGCCGAAAGCCUAAGGUUUCCUGAGGAAGGCUCGUCCGCUCAGGGUAAGCCGGGGCCUAAGCCGAGGCAGAGCAUGCGUAGGCGAUGGACAACUGGUUGAAAUUCCAGUGCCACCUAAGGCCGUCAGAGCGAGGGGGUGACGCAGGAGGGUAAGCUGAGCGCGCGGUUGGUAGAGCGCGUCCAAGCACAAAGGCAAGCCUGGUAGGCAAAUCCGCCAGGUCAUGGCUGAAGUGUGAAGGGGAGUGAAACUACAAGUAACGAAGCAGCUGACCCCAUACUGCCGAGAAAAGCCUCUAGCGAGGCCAAGGGUGCCCGUACUGCAAACCGACACAGGUAGGCGAGGAGAGAAUCCUAAGGCGAGCGGGAGAACUCUCGUUAAGGAACUCGGCAAACUAACCCCGUAACUUUGGGAGAAGGGGUACCUGAGUAACUGCAUGAAAACAUGUGGUGAAAAGGUCGCAGUGAAUAGGCCCAAGCGACUGUUUAUCAAAAACACAGGUCUCUGCUAAGGAGAAAUCCGACGUAUAGGGGCUGACGCCUGCCCGGUGCUGGAAGGUUAAGGGGACUGCUUAGCGAAAGCGAAGGCAAGAACCGAAGCCCCAGUGAACGGCGGCCGUAACUAUAACGGUCCUAAGGUAGCGAAAUUCCUUGUCGGGUAAGUUCCGACCCGCACGAAAGGCGUAACGACUUGGGCGCUGUCUUAACGAGAGACCCGGCGAAAUUGUAAUAUGAGUGAAGAUACUCAUUACCUGCGACAGGACGGAAAGACCCCGUGGAGCUUUACUGCAGCCUGAUAUUGGAUUUCGGUAUCAGAUGUACAGGAUAGGUGGGAGGCAGAGAACCAGGUUCGUCAGGAUCUGGGGAGCCGGCCUUGGGAUACCACUCUUCUGGUGCUGAGGUUCUAACCGCAAGCCGUAAUCCGGGUGCGGGACAUUGUCAGGUGGGCAGUUUGACUGGGGCGGUCGCCUCCCAAAGAGUAACGGAGGCGCCCAAAGGUUACCUCAGCACGGUUGGGAAUCGUGCAUUGAGUGCAAAGGCAUAAGGUAGCCUAACUGCGAGACCGACAAGUCGAGCAGUGUCGAAAGACGGGCUUAGUGAUCCGGCGGUACCGAAUGGAAGGGCCGUCGCUCAACGGAUAAAAGCUACCCCGGGGAUAACAGGCUGAUCUCCCCCAAGAGU